rnacentral:rRNA from 1 species
GGCGUUAAAGCCCCGGGGCUCAAUUCGGGGAGGUCGUUCAAUACUGCGGAACUUGAGGGCAGCAGAGGGAGNCGGAAUUCCCGGUGUANCGGUGAAAUGCGUAGAUAUCGGGAGGAACACCAGUGGCGAAGGCGGCCUCCUGGGCUGCUCCUGACGCUGAAGGCGAAAGCUAGGGGAGCGAACGGGAUUAGAAACCCCGGUAGUCCUAGCCGUAAACGAUGGAUGCUGGGUUUGGGGGGUAUAGAUUCCCUCCGUGCCGAAGCUAACGCGUUAAGCAUCCCGCCUGGGGACUACGGCCGCAAGGCUAAAACUCAAACGAAUUGACGGGUCCCCGCACAAGCAGCGGGGCGUGUGGUUUAAUUCGAUGCUACACGAAGAACCUUACCUGGGUUUGACAUGCAAGUAGUAGUGAAGCGAAAGCGGAACGACCCUUCGGGGAGCUUGCACAGGUGCUGCAUGGCUGUCGUCAGCUCGUGCCGUAAGGUGUCGGGUUAAGUCCCGUAACGAGCGCAACCCUUGCCCUUAGUUAUACGUGUCUAAGGGGACUGCCCGGGACAACUGGGAGGAAGGUGGGGAUGACGUCAAGUCAGCAUGGCCUUUAUAUCCAGGGCGACACACACGCUACAAUGGCCGGUACAAUGGGUUGCCAAGCCGUGAGGCGGAGCCAAUCCCGCAAAGCCGGUCUAAGUUCGGAUUGUGGGCUGCAACUCGCCCACAUGAAGCUGGAGUUGCUAGUAACCGCGCGUCAGCCAUAGUGCGGUGAAUACGUUCCCNGGGGAUUGUACACACCGCCCGUCACGUCAUGGAAGCUGGCAACACCUAAAGCCGGUAUGCUAACCCGAAAGGGAAGCCGCCGUCUAAGGUGGGGCUGG